UUGAACGCUGGCGGCAGGCCUAACACAUGCAAGUCGAACGGUAACAGGAAGCAGCUUGCUGUUUCGCUGACGAGUGGCGGACGGGUGAGUAAUGUCUGGGAAACUGCCUGAUGGAGGGGGAUAACUACUGGAAACGGUAGCUAAUACCGCAUAACGUCGCAAGACCAAAGAGGGGGACCUUCGGGCCUCUUGCCAUCGGAUGUGCCCAGAUGGGAUUAGCUAGUAGGUGGGGUAACGGCUCACCUAGGCGACGAUCCCUAGCUGGUCUGAGAGGAUGACCAGCCACACUGGAACUGAGACACGGUCCAGACUCCUACGGGAGGCAGCAGUGGGGAAUAUUGCACAAUGGGCGCAAGCCUGAUGCAGCCAUGCCGCGUGUAUGAAGAAGGCCUUCGGGUUGUAAAGUACUUUCAGCGGGGAGGAAGGGAGUAAAGUUAAUACCUUUGCUCAUUGACGUUACCCGCAGAAGAAGCACCGGCUAACUCCGUGCCAGCAGCCGCGGUAAUACGGAGGGUGCAAGCGUUAAUCGGAAUUACUGGGCGUAAAGCGCACGCAGGCGGUUUGUUAAGUCAGAUGUGAAAUCCCCGGGCUCUACCUGGGAACUGCAUCUGAUACUGGCAAGCUUGAGUCUCGUAGAGGGGGGUAGAAUUCCAGGUGUAGCGGUGAAAUGCGUAGAGAUCUGGAGGAAUACCGGUGGCGAAGGCGGCCCCCUGGACGAAGACUGACGCUCAGGUGCGAAAGCGUGGGGAGCAAACAGGAUUAGAUACCCUGGUAGUCCACGCCGUAAACGAUGUCGACUUGUCGGUUGUCCCCUUGAGGCGUGGCUUCCGGAGCUAACGCGUUAAGUCGACCGCCUGGGGAGUACGGCCGCAAGGUUAAAACUCAAAUGAAUUGACGGGGGCCCGCACAAGCGGUGGAGCAUGUGGUUUAAUUCGAUGCAACGCGAAGAACCUUACCUGGUCUUGACAUCCACGGAAGUUUUCAGAGAUGAGAAUGUGCCUUCGGGAACCGUGAGACAGGUGCUGCAUGGCUGUCGUCAGCUCGUGUUGUGAAAUGUUGGGUUAAGUCCCGCAACGAGCGCAACCCUUAUCCUUUGUUGCCAGCGGUCCGGCCGGGAACUCAAAGGAGACUGCCAGUGAUAAACUGGAGGAAGGUGAGGAUGACGUCAAGUCAUCAUGGCCCUUACGACCAGGGCUACACACGUGCUACAAUGGCGCAUACAAAGAGAAGCGACCUCGCGAGAGCAAGCGGACCUCAUAAAGUGCGUCGUAGUCCGGAUUGGAGUCUGCAACUCGACUCCAUGAAGUCGGAAUCGCUAGUAAUCGUGGAUCAGAAUGCCACGGUGAAUACGUUCCCGGGCCUUGUACACACCGCCCGUCACACCAUGGGAGUGGGUUGCAAAAGAAGUAGGUAGCUUAACCUUCGGGAGGGCGCUUACCACUUUGUGAUUCAUGACUGGGGUG
rnacentral:rRNA from 1 species